rnacentral:lncRNA from 1 species
GCCCAUCACGGAAACCCGAGUGAAGGCUGAGUGCCCCAUGAGGGACCCGGGCUCUGACACAGACAGACUGUCCCGGCUGGAGUCCAGCUCCUGGACGACCUGGGUCUCCCCGUUCUGCACUGGUAUCGCGCGGUGAGGCGGCGCUGAUCAGAACCUCAAAAGACCUGACCCCGAACACCGUCAUCCCAAAUCCUGAGCUCCUGAAAGAUCAAAACCUAACAUGUUGGUGUUCUGACCAGUUUCUCUGUGAAUGGUUCAUCUGCACAUAACUCAUAUCCACGUGACUGAAUGAGCACACCUGUGUGUCUGUGCUGGAGAAAAUGUUAUGAUCACCGACUUUAUUGGGAUGUCAGCAUUCAGAACUGUGUCCCAGGAUCGUGGCCCAGACCCACAGGGCAGGGGCGUGCACUUUUGAGGGUUCUGAAGACGACUCAACAGGGUGCCUGACCUGCUGGUAAGGACUCAGGAGACCUCACCUGUCCUCGUCACACUCAUGGAAGGGGACUCCAGAUCCCUGGCGUAGCUGGUCUGGGAACUGGGGAGGGAUGGGCAGUGCCCGGUAUAGGGUGCAACCUCCAGUGCCCACAUUAGCACGUCUGUUGCUGUGAGAUUCUAUCCUGUGGACACCUGUGGCUGUAACACACACCUUCCCACUGCUGUCACAGGAGUGAUACUCUUUCCGAUUCUAACAUCAGUGUGUGCACAUUUUGGGAAAACCAGCAAGUACAGAAGAAGAAUUUAGGCCGGGCCCAGUGGCUCACGCCUGGAAUCCCAGCACUUCGGGAAGUCAAGGCAGGAGGAUCGCUGGAGGCCAGGAGUUUGAGAUCAGCCCGGGCAACAUAGUGAGACCUCAUCUCUAUUUAAGAAAGAAAAAGACCACUGGUCCUCCCAGUGUUUACAAGAUUUUUCCAUUAAAACAGGAGGGAUCAUAAUGAGCGGCCUAACAAAGACAUUUAAAGACACGCCAAGAAGGGGCGCAGACAGGAGUCCUGAGAUGCAGUCAUGGGAACCCGCACCUGUUUUCCCGCCCUGGGCACCCAGCGUGGACAGGCUGGCCGGUGCCAGGGUGAGCAGGGCAGGCUGAGGUCUCCAGUGGGUGGGGACAGGUUAGGGGGCAGCAAUUCAGUGACCCUGUCCAGGACUGGGUCCCUUGCAGAAGGUGAGGUCAGCCAGGGGUGGGGGUGGUGGCUGUGGAAUCCGUUGUCUGGUCUAUAGGGGGUCCCCCUACCGAAGCCCUAACCCUCUCCCCUUCACCACCCCAGUGAUCUCCUGGCCCAGGCUGCUGCCUCCAGCAGCUCCCCAGCCCCCAGGACAGUCCUUCAGGACUCUAGGGGGAGUCCCGUCUACAAGGACGGCUCACCAGUCUCCCGCCACAGCCAGUGAGGAUGGGGUCCUGCAGCCGAAGUGGUGUGUGCCCAGUGUGGUGUCCCUGGCAGGCUGGGAGGGUGCCCCCAGCUGCCAGUUAGUGAGGCUGGGUUAGCACGAGGGCAAGGAGCUUGGAUUCUGGGGCUGACAGCCUGAGCUCAACUCCAGCGCCCCAUCUUGCUGGGGCUCCUCCGCCUGGAGGCGGCUCCUCCACCUGCCUCUGCCUCCGUUUCUGCAGCAGUUGCCUGCCGGACUCCAGCCCGAGGCGGGGGCCACGGCUGACCCAGCUGGAGAACGCCCCACUGGCCCAGUCAGUGCUGUCCUCUGCACCUGAUGGCUUCUCUUGGCAGGGAGGGCUCCCCCGCCCCCGGGCUCUGUGCCAGCCAGAGGUUCCGCAGGAGCUGCUCACUUCCUCCCGCCGGCAGAGGCAGCCUGCGGGGCGGCUCCAACCUGGAGAAACCAAAAUCAGGGCAAGUCCCUGGCUGCUUCCCUGGAAAGCCCCGACGGAGUCCCCGCUCCUUCCCGCCGGUUCUCAGGGUGCUUUAUUUCAGAAGGGGAUUUCUUCCUCCUGAGAAUCUGAUGGCCACAGGGUGCCUGUCACAUGUCCACAUCGGGCCCUCCUGGCUGUCACCAACUUGUCCAACUGUCAGAGGUGUUUGAACCAGAGCGACUCCGUCUUGAAUAGGGGCUGGGUGGAAUGAGGCUGGGGCCUGCUGGACUGCGUUCCCGGGAGGGUAAGGCAUUCUUAGUCACAAGACAGGAGGUUGGCACAAGAUACAAGUCACGAAGACCUUGCCGAUAAAGCAGGUUGCAGUAAAGAAGUGGCCAAAUCCCACCAAAACCAAGAUGGUGACUAGAGUGACCUCUGGUCGUGCUCGCCACUCAUUAUACACAAAUUCUAAUGCAUUAGCUGCUAAGAGACACUCCCACCAGCGCCAUGUCCACAAAUGCCAUGGCAACGUCCGAAAGUUACCCUGCACGGUCUAAAAAGGAGAGGAAGCCUCAGUUCUGGGAAUUGACCACCCUUUCCCAGAAAAUUCAUGAAUAAUCCACUCCUUGUUUAACAUAUAAUCAAGAAAUGACCAAAAUAAGCAUAAGAAUAUUCAGCUGAGCAGCCCAGCCCUCCGCACUGCCUCUGGAGUAGCCAUUCUUUAUUCCUUUACUCUAUUAAUAAACUUCUCACUUGACUCUCUGGACUCACCCUGAACUCCUUCCUGUGUGAGGUCCAAGAACCCUCUCUUGGUGUCUGGAUCAGGACUCCUUUCUGGCCUUGCUUGGGAUGAAGGUCACUGCACACCAGAUGUCUGCACGUACCGGAGCAGAGCGGGGCCGCCUGGAGCCCCUUCCCACCAACCAGAGCUGCGGCCAGGCAGGGUGGAAAUGCAGGCUGUGGGGAGACGAAGGUCAAGUCCCAGAACAUGGACGUGUCCCGGGCUCCUGGCUGGUGGGGGCCUGGUCCCUGGCGGGGAAAAGCAGCAGUGCAGGAGCCAGGGCUGUCUGCAGGGAACCAGCCAGGUAACUGGGUAGAAACUCUGCCCUCAUGCAUCAGACACGCUCCUGGUUCCCUGCAAUCGGACCUGUCACUACAAACAGACCAAGCUUUCCAGAUGCCAGUGGUGGUGGGAAAGCUGACAACACUCCCUACAGCAGGAUGACGGAGGACACAGCCUGCUCUAUAACGUCAAAGUGGCCUCUGGGUCCUUGUCCCAGGGCAGAAACAGACUCCUAAGUGUGAACGGAAAACAGAGGAUUAUUAAAAUUGUCACCUAAUGCAGAAGCCCUGCUACGCCCUUAGGUGGUCAAGGCUGAUUUCUUACCCAUCCACGACCGCAAAGGAAACCGUUCUUUGUUGGGGUCGAAGAGCAUGAACCCUCUUUAGAAUGGAUAGUGUUGGCCAGGCACGGUGGCUCACGCCUAUAAUCCCAGCACUUUGGGAGGCCGAGGCGGGCCGAUCACCUGAGGUCAGGAGUUCAAGACCAGCCUGGCCAAUAUGAUGAAACCCCGUCUCCACUAAAAAUACAAAAAUUAGCCGGGCAUGGUGGCAUGUGACUGUAGUCCCAGCUACUCAGGAGGCUGAGACAGGAGAAUUGCUUGAACCUGGGAGGAGGAGCUUGCAGUGAGCCGAGAUCGAGCCACUGCACUCCAGCCUGUGUGUCAGAGUGAGACAUCAUCUCAAAAACAAAACAAAACAAAAAAACCAAGAUGGAUCGUGUCCAUGUCUGCACCACCACACAUCAAACAAUCCAACAGGUGGAACUGUGCAGACUUCCCCACACUCAAUGUCCUCUUUCCAAUGUCGCUGUUCGCUAUCUGUGGAUGUCCCUAAAUGGCCUCAGAAGUUUCCAUUAGAAGAAAUUAGAGAUAUUGUAGGUUUUAAGUCAUUGAGCAAUCACUUACUAAUUACAAGUCACUUAUUUAUUAGACAAAAAUGAACAUUUUAUGUGCACAAAGAUAGUAUCAUAAGAGGUGUGGCGUUUUGCCAUUGGAACCUGGGCAUACGGUCAUUUGUCCUGCAGUUUCUCGUGUACUGAAAGGUGGCGUGGAUCCUACAGUUUCUCGUGUACUGAAAAGCGGUGUGGAUCCUACAGCUUCUCUACUGAAAGGUGGCGUGGAUCCUACAGCUUCUCGUGUACGGAAAGGCGGUGUGGAUCCUACAGCUUCUCUACUGAAAGGUGGCGUGGAUCCUACAGUUUCUCAUGUACGGAAAGGCGGCGUGGAUCCUCAGCUUCUCGUGUACCGAAAGGCGGCGUGGAGCAGCACAAGGAGCUUGAGCGUUGCAAUGAGAAGUCAUGGCUGUGAAUCCCACCCCAUCACGUUUUGAAUGUUGGGCAAAUUAAUUAAUCGUUUUAUCCACUUACUAGGCGAUGUAUAGUUUGUAUACUUCAUGCCAGUCAUUGUUUUAGACUCUUAAGAUGCAAAGAUAAAUAAGAAAGUUGCUUUGGGCAAAGAGUGAGACCUUUUUCUUAAAAAAACAAAACAAAAGAAUUACCAUGUGAUGAGCACUUCUCCUUCUGGGUGCAUACCCAGUGCUCUGAGCUACAGCGUCUAACGUUCAAGCCAGCUUCUCAAUCGGACCCCAGGAUCCUUUCUAGAGAGAAAUCCUGUCCACGUCGCCCUCCUAGCUGGCACGGCUGCAGGCACCAGUGUCGUGGCAGCGGGAAGGGGAGGACGGGCUUGGUGAAAGGGGACUGGGGCCUCCUCACUCCUGGGGCUGCCAGCUCCCUCACCCUGAAAUCAGACCCACGCCCGCCCUGCACUUCCUGAGUGUUUCCUGAGACCAAGGGAUCAGAGCUUCGGCUGUGAGGGGCGGUGCUGUGCCCUGGGACACACGGAGCCACAGCCUCCGCUUCCAGGGUGCCCUGGGGCCUCUCUCCACGUCUCCCUAGGGGCAACCGCCACAACUACUCUGUGUCGUGUGUCCUGCGCCGUCCAUCCGACCCCUCGCAACUCAUCCCAAGCCUGGGGGGCUCUGGGGGACAGGGCAGGUGGGGCCAUGUGACCAGGAGAACCUGCUGGUGUCUCCGGCCUCCACUGGGUGCCCCAGGACUGUGGUCAGCAGGGUGGAGCCCCUGAUGCAGCUUCACUGCCUGCUGCAGCCAGAGGGGGAUGGGGUCCCACCCACAGCCCCUCCUCCGGAGCCC